rnacentral:rRNA from 1 species
GCCUACGGCCAUACCACCCUGAAAGCGCCCGAUCUCGUCUGAUCUCGAAGCUAAGCAGGGACGGGCUUGGUUAGUACCUGGAUGGGAGACCGCCUGGGAAUACCAGGUGUUGUAGCUU